rnacentral:rRNA from 1 species
CCUACGGGGGGCAGCAGUGGGGAAUAUUGCGCAAUGGGGGAAACCCUGACGCAGCAACGCCGCGUGAGCGAAGAAGGCCUUCGGGUCGUAAAGCUCUGUCUGGAGGGAUGAAAAACAUGACAGUACCUCCGGAGGAAGCCCCGGCUAACUACGUGCCAGCAGCCGCGGUAAUACGUAGGGGGCAAGCGUUGUCCGGAAUUACUGGGCGUAAAGGGCGCGUAGGCGGUAGAUUAAGUCAGAUGUGAAAGUCCAGGGCUCAACCGUGGAAUUGCAUUUGAAACUGAUUUACUUGAGCGCAGGAGAGGAGAGCGGAAUUCCUAGUGUAGCGGUGAAAUGCGUAGAGAUUAGGAAGAACACCAGUGGCGAAGGCGGCUCUCUGGACUGUAACUGACGCUGAGGCGCGAAAGCGUGGGGAGCGAACAGGAUUAGAUACCCCAGUAGUC